CCUGCCAUCGCCACCAUCCUGGCCUCGGGGGCGUCGGCCUCCAGGUCCCCGGGAGGAGAACUCCCAGAGCUACUAAAUCCUCGCUGGAGGCAGUGGUUUCUUAUGCGAGGGGACGUUGCGGAGGGCCCAACUUUGGGAGCUGGGCCGGUCGGUCUUUGAGGUCCGCAGAGGGACGUGAUGGGCGGGAAUGGGACGACCCGGCUCCUCCACUGGUGGGGCCGCCUGUGGUGCUUGCGGACUCGGGAGAUCCAGUGUCCAGUGGUAAUCUGUGAAAAUGGUUCGCUAUUCACUUGACCCGGAGAACCCCAUGAAAUCAUGCAAAUCAAGAGGUUCCAAUCUUCGUGUUCACUUUAAGAACAUUCGUGAAACUGCCCAGGCCAUCAAGGGUGUGCAUAUUCGAAAAGCCACGAAGUAUCUGAAAGAUGUCUCUUUACAGAAACAGUGCGUACCAUUCCGACGUUACAAUGGUGGAGUUGGCAGGUGUGCCCAGGCCAAGCAGUGGGGCUGGACACAAGGUCGGUGGGCCAAAAAGAGUGCAGAAUUUUUGCUGCACAUGCUUAAAAACGCAGAGAGUAAUGCUGAACUUAAGGGUUUAGAUGUAGAUUCUCUGGGCAUCGAGCAUAUCCAAGUGAACAAAGCACCUAAGAUGCUCCGACGAACCUACAGAGCUCAUGGUCGGAUUAACCCAUACAUGAGCUCUCCCUGCUACAUUGAGAUGAUCCUUACUGAAAAGGAACAGAUUGUUCCUAAACCAGAAGAGGAGGUUGCCCAGAAGAAAAAGAUAUCCCAGAAGAAACUGAAGAAACAAAAACUUAUGGCACGGGAGUAAAUUCAGCAUUAAAAUAAAUGUAAUUAAAAGGAAAAAAAAAA